rnacentral:ncRNA from 1 species
ACACAAACGUUGAAAAGAUAAGUAAAUUAAUACGUAGCUACAACAGAGAGUUAUUGGUUGGUGCGAAGUAACAUGGUGAAGAUUAGUUGAAAAUGGUCUUAGAGUUUUGUUUAUCUAAUAGGUAAACACGUAGGUUGCACGAUAUAGCACACAGUAUAAACAUGUACUGAAUAAGGUACUAAUCGCAAGAUUAGUAUAAAUUAGAGUGGUAACGCGAAUUAAGAUAAUCGCCUCUAUU